rnacentral:lncRNA from 1 species
UAUGUUGAACGGCAACAUAAAAAUUCUUAGAGGUACACAUUAAAGGCAAGUAGUACACACCAUCCACAAACACGAUACGAGAAAAUUCAAAUAAAAUUCAUUACAUAAAAACAAUAUGAAUAAAGUGAAAAACUAAAAAAAUAUUGCAUACGUACGUCAAGUACCACUUAUCCCCUACGCGAAACAACCCGAUUGUCCCUCUCGAAGCGAUACUCGAUCCAUUUGAACCACAAAUUCGGUGUCUUGACAGCACGGUAUGAAUUUCGAUUUUCUGUGUCGCGUAGGAAUCAUAGGGCUAGCAAGUGGAGCUCAUCACCUUCCUCCGCUUGCCCAGACAACAAAAUUUAGUCAACGCACUCGUCGACCAACAUUCCUCUAUUAUCACGUGAUCUUACAAUUGAGGCAAGAUCCGUUCCUACACUUACCAUUUGCACAAGAGAAGCAGAGACCUAUUUGGCACCAUUUUUAUCUUUCAUUUCUCCUGCUGAUGUUUGCAUUUCAUUUUAUCCCCACUGUGUUUGCCGAAAAUAUUUAUGGAGUUAGCUCUAUAUUCCACUGGGCUAUCACUAGAAUCAAUUGUCUCCGCAUUGAUGGGCAACUUGUCGCCUCCAUCCUUCCUGUCACUAUUUGUACCCAAAUCGAUUUUGUGCUCCGACAGCUUUCAUUUUGCAGACUACGCACUACAAGUUGGGGUCUUACAGAUUCGAAGACAUGAUGUCGACGUGGUCUGGAUUACCAGUAGUAUACCCUUGCAGGGUAUAUGUGGAAAUCGAAACUAGAUCAACAACAGUCGCCACAUCGAUUGCCAAAAAAAAGUUUCAAUUGUGGUUGAAAAUGGAACAAGCGUCAUACAGGGGCAGAUUAAAAAAAUUGAAACUUCAAAAAGUAGAGAUUGAAACUGGUUACCAUGUGUUCGGGAGAAUAGGCCCAUUUCGAUCCUUGUUUUCCAUUUUAAAGCUCUCGAUUUGUUGAAGAAGCUCGUGGAGUUGAAGGUUGCAAAAUCAAAAUGUUGCCACGACCACAGAACUGUCUUGGAGACAAGCGAUGCCUAGCUGAAGAUGGUGCCCCUUGGAUGGAAAGUGC